GUGGCCCAUAUCAGCUGCUCCUUGGACUGUCUAUACCACAGCUGGCUAACAUACAGAUUUGGAGGUCAUGUGUGCCCCUUGAAACCUACAAUCCGGCCUGCAGUCUAAAGGAAGCUUGACAUGAUUUAUCAAGCUGCAGUGUUUUUGACAAAUACCCUGCACAAUUUAAGUUAAACGUGGGAUUUUGUUUGUGUUCGUUGUUGCUUUCCAUUUGAUAUCAAUA